rnacentral:rRNA from 1 species
UACGAAGGGUGCAAACGUUGCUCGGAAUUAUUGGGCGUAAAGCGCACGUAGGCGGCUUGGCAAGUCGGAUGUGAAAUCCCUCGGCUCAACCAAGGAAGUGCAUCCGAAACUGCCGAGCUUGAGUACUUAAGAGGAUCGCGGAAUUCCCGGUGUAGAGGUGAAAUUCGUAGAUAUCGGGAGGAACACCAGUGGCGAAGGCGGCGAUCUGGGAAGAUACUGACGCUGAGGUGCGAAAGCGUGGGGAGCAAACAGGG